ensembl:snoRNA SCARNA10 small Cajal body-specific RNA 10
CCCAAGUGAUGAACCAAGGCAAAUCUGACUCUCCCUUCUGAGUGUGACCUCUAGCCUUCACUCUUGGUCUGUAAUCUUGGUGGCUGCUGAGAAGCUUCUCACUGUUGCUGUAAGGGCAGACCAAUAGCAGUGCUCAAUGCGUGGCCCACAACUGAUUUAAUAUCUGUGCGUACGAGCGACCGUGCAGAUCUCAGCUGGGCCUACAUGAUGGUGUAAGAGGGAAGGAUGCAGAACAGAGGUCAUUGCUCUAAUAGGGAGAGGUACACAUGACAGUGCAUCUUUGGUAAUCUGAUGGGC